rnacentral:tRNA from 1 species
CAGAUGUAGUUCAGUGGUAGAACAUUAGCCUUCCAAGCUAAUUAUACGGGUCCGAUUCCCGG